GACGAACGCUGGCGGCGUGCUUAACACAUGCAAGUCGAACGGAAAGGCCCUGCUUUUGUGGGGUGCUCGAGUGGCGAACGGGUGAGUAACACGUGAGUAACCUGCCCUUGACUUUGGGAUAACUUCAGGAAACUGGGGCUAAUACCGGAUAGGAGCUCCUGCUGCAUGGUGGGGGUUGGAAAGUUUCGGCGGUUGGGGAUGGACUCGCGGCUUAUCAGCUUGUUGGUGGGGUAGUGGCUUACCAAGGCUUUGACGGGUAGCCGGCCUGAGAGGGUGACCGGCCACAUUGGGACUGAGAUACGGCCCAGACUCCUACGGGAGGCAGCAGUGGGGAAUAUUGCACAAUGGGCGGAAGCCUGAUGCAGCAACGCCGCGUGCGGGAUGACGGCCUUCGGGUUGUAAACCGCUUUCGCCUGUGACGAAGCGUGAGUGACGGUAAUGGGUAAAGAAGCACCGGCUAACUACGUGCCAGCAGCCGCGGUGAUACGUAGGGUGCGAGCGUUGUCCGGAUUUAUUGGGCGUAAAGGGCUCGUAGGUGGUUGAUCGCGUCGGAAGUGUAAUCUUGGGGCUUAACCCUGAGCGUGCUUUCGAUACGGGUUGACUUGAGGAAGGUAGGGGAGAGUGGAAUUCCUGGUGGAGCGGUGGAAUGCGCAGAUAUCAGGAGGAACACCAGUGGCGAAGGCGGUUCUCUGGGCCUUUCCUGACGCUGAGGAGCGAAAGCGUGGGGAGCGAACAGGCUUAGAUACCCUGGUAGUCCACGCUGUAAACGGUGGGUACUAGGUGUGGGGUCCAUUCCACGGGUUCCGUGCCGUAGCUAACGCUUUAAGUACCCCGCCUGGGGAGUACGGCCGCAAGGCUAGAACUCAAAGGAAUUGACGGGGCCCCGCACAAGCGGCGGAGCAUGCGGAUUAAUUCGAUGCAACGCGUAGAACCUUACCUGGGUUUGACAUGGAUCGGGAGCGCUCAGAGAUGGGUGUGCCUCUUUUGGGGUCGGUUCACAGGUGGUGCAUGGCUGUCGUCAGCUCGUGUCGUGAGAUGUUGGGUUAAGUCCCGCAACGAGCGCAACCCUUGUUCACUGUUGCCAGCACGUUAUGGUGGGGACUCAGUGGAGACCGCCGGGGUCAACUCGGAGGAAGGUGGGGAUGACGUCAAGUCAUCAUGCCCCUUAUGUCCAGGGCUUCACGCAUGCUACAAUGGCUGGUACAGAGAGUGGCGAGCCUGUGAGGGUGAGCGAAUCUCGGAAAGCCGGUCUCAGUUCGGAUUGGGGUCUGCAACUCGACCUCAUGAAGUCGGAGUCGCUAGUAAUCGCAGAUCAGCAACGCUGCGGUGAAUACGUUCCCGGGGCU
rnacentral:rRNA from 1 species